rnacentral:lncRNA from 1 species
UGUAUUAUACUUAAAUACAGUGGGCGUGUUAUACGUGAAUACUUGGUUUUUAAUGGAGUUCAUUUUUUCCUCCCCCAGGCCUGCUCCUCCUCUCUCCUUAGGUCUCAGGCUGCUGCUGAAUGGUUUUACCAUCCCCUACCAUCCAAUCCAGAGACUUGUGCCAGCCUCCUCUCUUCCUUCAGCCCUCCGCCUUCCACAGACCUUCACCAUUGGGCUCUCCUCUCCAUCACCACGGCCACUGCCUGGUUUUAGGCCCCCGCCCUCUCUCCUGCAUGCUGCCGAUGGGAUAAAAUGCAAACCUGGUCGUGUCACUCUCCUGCUCGAGCCCGUGGCUCCCCUCGCCUGUAGGCAGCCUGGAGUUCCCGGGUGCCAUAUUCUUAUGGAAAUGAGCAGAGAAAGAAGGAACAGCAAGCAUUUCACAGGAAAAGCUGUCGCCAAGGGAACAGCAGCGUGGUUGCUGUAAGCCCCCGUCCCCCCCCUCAAAAAGGAUUUCAUCCCCCCAAAACUGGAGAAGCAAAGCAAAAGUAUUUUUGACUGCAACCUAUUAUAAUACCAGGAAAUAACACUGCAGCCAUGAGAAAAGGAGAGAAAAUGUCAGCCUUUAAAGAAAAACUCAAGGCUUCAGAUUUUGUCUUUGUGCAUUUCCCGGCCGAUUCGGGUUGUGUUUGCGAUUCUUCCGCAUGAUACGUGGCCCCAGUAUAGCCUUUGACAUGCUGCCCCUCGCCGAUGUCAGAUUUAGGCCAUCUGGGAACCUCCUGCCGUUUUGCCCAAGCGCCAAUCCAUGGGGAAACCCUUUGUUACCACAGCAAGAAUAUUCGAGGCAGGCCUGCUGGCUCAAAAGCCUGCCUUGCCAGCCCUAGAGGAAAAGUGUGCAUUAGUCACACCUAGGAAAGACCAUUUUCGCCUCUCUGAUUGGAUUUCACUAGGUACAGAGCUUCCCUUCCCAUGGAAACAGAUGAAGCUGAAGGGAAAUACCUAAAAUUAUGAAUGAUGAAGAUCAUCUGUAGCCAGCUUCUGUCUACUUGAGAAAUAAUAGGGCACAGGAGGAAAAAAAAAAAAAAACCAGGCUGGAAUGAUGUCCUGCACGUGGAAAAGAGAGAAGAAAAUUGCUUCAUGUGUGCAAGUGUAAUAUUUUAGGGGACAGGCAUGUUCAUGGGUCGAUUUGCUUUCUGUAAUGCUACAGAUGCGUGGACCUCAAAAACAUUAUGCUAAGUGGCAGACAAAAGACCACUUAUACGUUUCCUUUUCCGUGAAAUGUCUGGAAGGGGCAAAUCCAUAGAGACAGCGCGCAGAUUGGUUGUUGCCAGGGCCUGGGAGUACGGCUGCUUAAUGGGUGUGGAGUUUCUUUUUGGGGUGAUGAAAAUGUUUUGGAAUUAGUGCUGGUGGUGGCACAACCUUGUGAAUCUAUUUAAAAAUCACUGAAUUGUGCACUUUAAAUGGGUGGAUUGGAUGGUAUGUAA